GCCUCCUGGCCGCGUUGCCGUGGAGACGGAGCUCGCUGUGUAGAUGUGGCAACUGGCCGAGACACAGCCUUUGCUGACUAUCUGCUGCAGGGGCUCACGGGACAGACGCCAAGAUGAUGCUUUCAAGAGCCAAACCCGCUGUGGGCGGGGAAUCACCGCACACUGACAAAAGAAAGAAGAAAGGUAGGAAGAUUCCAAAACUAGAAGAUCUGCUUUCGCAAAGAGAUUUCACUGGCGCUAUUACUCUUUUGGAGUUCAAACGCCAUGUCGGGGAGCAAGAAGACGACACUAACUUGUGGAUUGGAUACUGUGCUUUUCACCUGGGUGACUACAAGAGAGCUUUGGAGG